GCGAGGGAAGGUAAGAGUACACGCGGUGGGGACUGCUAGCGGGCAGUCAUCUGCAAUUGCUACCCGGACAAUAGGCAGGGUACAGAUCACAGGCACUGCUGACUAGCCUAUAAAUAAAAUAUCUUCUUCACCCGACCAACUUGCUGUAGGGUCUGAGAGCUGAGGUGACACGACUUCUAUUGCGAUCCUUGGCAACAACACUAGUCUGAUCAAUGGUAUUGCAGGGUAUGCUACAGAUUCAUUUGUGGCAGGACUAGAUGCAACCCAGCAUUCAGUCUCAGGGAGUGAAGGAGUGACCGAGGAAAUAACUCAAAGCGCGAGACCCCUGACAACAGAAUCUGCACCCUGCUUAAACAACAGUUUGGUCAAGACUUGUAACAAAGAAAAUGAGUUUUCAAGUCCCUCCAUAUCGUUGGCAAGCUUCUACCCGUCAACACCACUGUCCAUGGACAACCGAAAGAGACAGUAAAGGAGAUGAAAAGCAACAACUCACGAACAAAUAUUUGAAAGAACAAACAGCAGAGUGUAUACUACGCCGACAAAAAUUAGAACUACAAAUGAAAAAACUCGAACUGGAAGUCUGGCUGCUGGAAGCUAAGAAAAAAAGAUAGAGAAAGAGAUGAAUGAUAAUUAAUUUUGCAGUACUGCCAGUGUAUGCAUUUUUGUACAUUGGAGUGGAUGUGUAUGCAGUUAAUUUUUUUAAAAUUAUGUCCUUGAUCUUAGAAUGUGCACAUCUGUUAAUCUAUUGUUUAAGUGGUGUAUAUUUGUUUUUGUUUUUUUUUUAUCUCGUCUAGAAAUAAAAGAUGUCAUAAGCAACAAAGUUUCUCAAUGGUUUUUCUUGUCUGUGCCUUGGUAGUAUUAGUAUGUGCUAUAUUCUGUGUCACCCUGACCUCGUUUUCUUUACUGGUGUGUGAGAAAUGCAAUCAGCCAAUUUCAGGCAACUUCCCCAGCAGUAACUCUUGCUCUCUCCUGUGCUUGCAUAUUGUAUCUCCUAUCUACAAGGUUUUCAUCUGCACCAUGGUUUUCG